AUGAGGCCACUAAGAAGGAUCUCUGCCACACCUCAUUUGCAACACCAAACACAUGAUGGUCAGACAAAUAUGGCUUCAUUGGCUACCAAAAUGGGAGUUCUUCCAAAGGAGAGGAGUGUUUCCAGCACAGCAGCACAAAACAGCGCGAACACCCCCACAAGACGCUCCACCAGCACUGCCCUGGCUCACAGCAGAAGGACAAGCCCCGAGACAUGGGUGCAUGCCCAACUGCACCCCAUGUAUCCCUGCCACCAUGUUCUUAUGGAUCCACAGCAGCGAUGCUGGAUGUCACCCUGCAGCCACCUGUUUUUCCAAAGUUCCUUCUCUAACACACCCUGGGAAUGGGAAGUUUCCUUCCAAACUUUCCAAGUGGAAAUAAUUCCCCUAACCCUGCCUGGCUUUCCCUGACUGACCAUCUACCUGCACAGCACUGUCCACCUGCCCGCACCUCAC
rnacentral:lncRNA from 1 species